UACGGAGGGGACUAGCGUUGUUCGGAAUUACUGGGCGUAAAGCGCACGUAGGCGGCUUUGUAAGUCAGGGGGGAAAUCCCGGGGCUCAACCUCGGAACUGCCUUUGAUACUGCAAAUCUCGAGUCCGGAAGAGGUGAGUGGAAUUCCUAGUGUAGAGGUGAAAUUCGUAGAUAUUAGGAAGAACACCAGUGGCGAAGGCGGCAUCCGGGACCAAUACUGACGCUGAGUGAGCGAAAGCCAGGGGAGCAAACGGG
rnacentral:rRNA from 1 species